UGUUGUUGAAGAGUUGAUUAAA
rnacentral:misc_RNA from 1 species